GGUACACUGAGAUCACUGAAUGUCUCUCUCUGUCUUUAAGGAUAUUCUCUCAAGUGUUAUGUGUGUGUGCCUGAUUCAUGGGGUAACUGUAAAGCAACAGUGGAGACAUGUCCAGAUGAUUGUUCUGCAUGUUCAACAUGUACAGCGAAUCUAUCAUAUGGUUACAAAAACAUAACCUUCACAAUUAAAGGGUGUGCAACUCAAUGUCAAAGUACGAAAGCAGAGAUGCCAGAUGGUACGACAGUGGAUCUCCGCUGCUGUAAGAGUAACUUUUGCAAUGCAGAAAAUGCAGCAGAUGGAGUGUUUAAGGGAAGCUUCCUCCUGCUCUUCUCUCCUCUGCUCUUCUACUUCCUGUUUCAGUGAGUCCAGAUUCAAGACUUCAGAUUCUACAGUGAAGAUCAGCGAAUAUGAGACACAUUCUUUCAUACGCAGAAAAUGAGAUCCUUCGAGAAAGUAUAAGAUUACACAAGAGUGUGUAAACACACUUAUGCAUAAAUCAUGAAAAUGUGAUUGUGGUUGUUCAUCUAGUAGGUUAACCAAUCAAAUGUCUGAAAUUCUUAGAAGCAAUAUGACUGUCAUGGUUUUCUGUUUUGAUUUUGUUUUCAAGGUCUUUUAUUUUUUGUUUCUUGUUUCCUGAGUUUGUAAAUUAAUAACUACUGAUUUUUACAGUGGAAAUGAAUCAAUCAAAAACUUCCUUUAGCUGGACAAUAACUUUUUUUUCUAGAGCUGCUGUACAGUCAAAACAAUCUCUGUUCCAGUAAUUUCCUAUUAUCACUGUAAAUCUGCUUUGAAACAAUCUGUAUUGUAAAAAGCACUUUAUAAAUGAAGGUGAUUAAACUUCAUUUUGUUCA